rnacentral:snRNA from 1 species
CGCGAGUUCUAUCGGGUAAAGC